rnacentral:lncRNA from 1 species
CGUUGAUCAUCGUCCAUCACAUCGUCAAGCACGGUCGCUUCAUCCUCCAGGAUCAGCUCUCUGUUAUUCCGGUAUCCGGUGGUCGGAAUUAUCUCAAGCUUUCUAGUUUCAGAGAUGAGAAAUCCCCUUUGAAGUGGGAGCUUUCCUCUUGGGUCCGAUGGUGAGUUCGAAACAGUAAAUAAGAAAGUUUCAAUUUUUAUGUCAUAAAGAGUUAAAAAGUUGAUUUUUUUUUAUAUGUUCGAUUUUUGAAUUUAGGUACGCUUUAUACCUUGAGCAUCUAUUAUCAACUUCAAGAAUCAUGGGAUUUUUCAUUUCUUCGACAUCGAGCACAAUCCACAAAGACGAAUACGAAGAAAUGGUUUCGUCUCUUACCAACACUGAUUUGCUGCGUGAAAUCGACGCCCUCGUCGGUCUACUAGAAGAAGCAUGUAAAAUUCCGGAUCUACCCUCCUCUGGUGGCAAAUCACUCGCCGACAAAAUCAACCAGUUA